rnacentral:RNase_P_RNA from 1 species
UGAGUAGGCUGGGCAGUCGCGGGGAGCCUUAUGGGCUCCCUGAGGAAAGUCCGGGCUCCAAAGGGCAGGGUGCCGGAUAACGUCCGGCGGAGGCGACUUCAGGGAAAGUGCAACAGAAACAUACCGCCGGGAGCAUCCCGGCAAGGGUGAAAUGGUGAGGUAAGAGCUCACCGGCGGGCCGGAAACGGUCCGGCCGUGCAAACCCCACCCGGAGCAAGGCCAAGGAGGGCGCUGCAGGGCUUUCGGGCCCGGGCGGAAAGGGGGCGGCCCGUCCCUUCCCGAGAGGUAGGCCGCACGAGCCGUCCGGCAACGGACGGCCAAGAUAGAUGAUUGCCGAACACAGAACCCGGCUUACAGGCCUGCUCACCGG